AACCCAUGGUAAUGGCACCUUCUCAAUAAGUCCUUAUACCUCUCUCAUGCAUCAUAUAGGGUCUCUAAGUCAAUUUGAACAAAGGAAGAGAUAUCAUUCCUUAACUU
rfam:Gossypium hirsutum cultivar TM-1 chromosome 12, whole genome shotgun sequence